rnacentral:rRNA from 1 species
AGCGAACGCUGGCGGCAGGCUUAACACAUGCAAGUCGAGCGGUCGUAGCAAUACGGCAGCGGCAGACGGGAGAGUAACACGUGGGAACGUACCCUUCAGUACGGAACAACCAAGGGAAACUUUGGCUAAUACCGUAUACGUCCGUAAGGAGAAAGAUUUAUCGCCGAAGGAUCGGCCCGCGUCUGAUUAGCUAGUUGGUGGGGUAAUGGCCCACCAAGGCGACGAUCAGUAGCUGGUCUGAGAGGAUGAUCAGCCUCACUGGGACUGAGAUACGGCCCAGACUCCUACGGGAGGCAGCAGUGGGGAAUAUUGGACAAUGGGCGCAAGCCUGAUCCAGCCAUGCCGCGUGGAUGAUGAAGGCCCUAGGGUUGUAAAGUCCUUUCGACGGGGAAGAUAAUGACGGUACCCGUAGAAGAAGCCCCGGCUAACUUCGUGCCAGCCGCCGCCGUAAGAC